GGAAAGCGUCAGAAAGCCAGUCAGAAAGCAAGCUAGAAACCCAGACAGUCAGCAUGAGAAAGCAAGGAGAAGCACACACAGGCACGCCUUCUCCUCGAUUCCUAGUCAGCUUUCUAGAAAGCACGCUUUCCAGCCCGCUUUACAGAUAGUCUUUCUCAGAAAGCGUGGCACUCCCUUUCCAGGGAAAUCGUCAGAAAGCCAGUCAGAAAGCAAGCUAGAAACCCAGACGGUAAGCAUGAGGAAGCAAGGAGAAGCACACAUAGGCACGCCUUCUCCUCGAUUCCUAGUCGGCUUUCUAGAAAGCACACUUUCCAGCCCGCUUUACAGAUAGUCUUUCUCAGAAAGCGUGGCACCCUCUUUCCAGGGAAAGCGUCAGAAAGCCAGAGAAAGCAACCUAGAAACCCAGACAGUAAGCAUGAGAAAGCAAGGAGAAGCACGCCUUCUCCUCGAUUCCUAGUCGGCUUUCUAGAAAGCACGCUUUCCAGCCCGCUUUACAGAUAGUCUUUCUCAGAAAGCAUGGCCCUCGCUUUCCA
rnacentral:lncRNA from 1 species